rnacentral:rRNA from 1 species
UACGUAGGGGGCAAGCGUUGUCCGGAUUUAUUGGGCGUAAAGAGCGUGUAGGCGGCCAGGUAGGUCUGCUGUGAAAACUCGAGGCUCAACCUCGAGACGUCGGCGGAAACCAUCUGGCUAGAGUCCGGAAGAGGAGAGUGGAAUUCCUGGUGUAGCGGUGAAAUGCGCAGAUAUCAGGAAGAACACCCGUGGCGAAGGCGGCUCUCUGGGACGGUACUGACGCUGAGACGCGAAAGCCAGGGGAGCAAACGGG